rnacentral:RNase_P_RNA from 1 species
UCAGAGGAUCGGGCGAUCGCCGCUGCGAAAGCAGGGGAGGAAAGUCCGGGCUCCACGGAACGCGGUGCCGGGUAACACCCGGCGGGGGCGACCCCAGGGACAGUGCCACAGAGAGCAGACCGCCGAUGGGUUCCGGCAACGGAACGACAGGCAAGGGUGAAAGGGUGCGGUAACAGCGCACCGCGCGAUGGGUAACCGGAGCGGCAUGGCAAACCCCACCGGGAGCAAGACCGAAUAGGGACGGCAUGUGGCGCAAGCCACAGGGCAGGAACCGGCCUCGCCGUCCGGGUUGGUUGCUUGAGGUUGUCGGUAACGGCAAUCCUAGAGGAAUGAUCGUCGCUGGCGUUCGCGCCAGUACAGAACCCGGCUUACAGAUCCUCUGACCGC